rnacentral:rRNA from 1 species
AUGACAGAAGAGGAGAAACUCCUAAUCCGAACUUUCAAUGUUGUGAAGCUACCAACAAGACAAAUAAUAGCAAUCCUAAGUUACUUGAGAGGCGGGAACACUCCUUACACCAAAAAGCAUGUGAGCAAUGUUAGAACAACCAUUGUUAAAGAGAGCAAUCAAAAUGACAUGAUGCAGGUGCUCACAUAUUUCAGGAAGAGGCAAGCUGAAGAUCCACAAUUUUACUAUGCGUUCAAAACAAGUAAAGUCUCUGAUGACGCAAGUAAAGUUUUGUGCAUUUUCUGGGCUGACGGGUAUUCUAGGAAAAUGUAUGAGCUGUACGGAGACUGCCUCAGCUUCGACACAACAUUCAAGACAAACAGAUACAACCUCCCAUUUGCUCCCUUUGUUGGUGUCAUAGGACAUGGGCAGAACUGUUUGUUCGCUUGCUCAAUCAUAGAGAAUGAAACAGCUGACACCUUUCAAUGGUUGUUUGAGACAUUCUUACAUUGCAUGGGUGGGAAAUCACCGUCCACAAUCAUAACAGACGAGGAUGCUGGGAUGAAGACAGCUAUCCCUUUAGUUUUCCCGCAUAUCUGCCAUAGGCGAUGUUUGUUUCAUAUUAAGAAGUAG